CCAGUUGGACCCUGGACAUAGUGACUCUGCCUUGAUUAUGCAGAUGACUUGAAGCCUCUGAGGUUGGCAGAGCCACAAGAAAGAGAGCCUGGAUGAAAGAGAGCUGCCCACUGACCUGAAACACCCAAUUAUUUUAACAUGAGAGUGCCUAUGACUGGGUGGCAUUGUUCAUGUUGGUAAUGUAAAGUGCAAGUUGUAAUUGUGAUCUUCACCUGGGAAGUGCACCAUUUACCUGUACAUUGUACCUGUCAGAGAUGGGAUCUCGCUCUUGCUCAGGUUGGUCUCAAACUCCACCUCAGUCUCCAACAGUGCUAGGAUUACAGGCAUAAAGCCACCACGCCCAGUCACAACAAAGGACUUUUAAUUAAGUCAUCUGUCUUCUCAGAGCUAUUGGAACACUGGAUCAUUGUGAAGACUGAAGGGAACAGUUGCAACAUGACCACUUUUGGAGAAAAAUGUUGCCACCAUUUUCUUUCCAACAAUUCAGGGCUGCUUCACUUUUGUUAGUGGAUUUUCAUGGAGGCCGGGAUUCAUACUAUUGACUGACACUUAUUCUCUGGAUCAAACUGAAACACAUCCCUCAAAUAUGACCAGCAUUUCUUCAACCAUUCAGGAUGUGCUUUUGCUCAUCUGUCAAAGUGUGAGGCACUCAUUUGGAUGAAACUUUCCUAACUCAAAAGUUAUCACAGAGCAGGAUUUUGGACACUGCUGGCAAGCCAUUCUAUAGUGCCGCUUCAGUGCCCUUAAAUGUCACUCACUGUUUUCAGGAACCAUUUUGUCCACAGUGACGAUACUUAACCUCAGUCACAGUAACUUGUGAGACACCCACUCCUCUCCUCAUCUUCUCUUCGUUUUUUUUUUUUUUUUUACAGUUUUUGGCCGGGGCUGGGUUUGAACCCAUCACCUCCGGCAUAUGGGGCCAGAGCCCUACCCCUUUGAGCCACAGGCGCCAUCCCUCUUCUCAUCUUUCAGAGAAGUUCUGCCUCUUCUAAAUUCUUGAAACCACUGAAAAAUUGUCCACUGGGAAGGUCCCCCAAAGCCCACUGCAAAUGCUCAAGGCUUUGAGACUCCUUUAAUUCGCUUUUAAAAUGAUAGAAAACUAUUGCACAUAAAUGUUCUCUUCCCAGCUCCAUAGCUGACACUGAUUGUCAAAUAGAGGAAUGAAGCCUCCCAGCAACAGAAAUGAACUGAGCAAGUUGAAAGUUGCAUGGGUGAAACUUAACAACAACAACAAGGAUGCCAUUGUUGACUGUAUUUCUUGGAAGUGAAAAUAAUGGACCGGAACACAGCCUGUCUCCAAAUUUUUGUAGUGACCUUCAUAUAUGCAGGAUCUAGCCACUUAUUUGGGAGCUCCCAAAUUUAAGUGUUUUUAGGUCUUUUUUUUUUUUUUCAGAGACUUUCAGAAAAUCUGCCAGUUUCCUGCUGGGAAGUAUAAAUCUGGCUGCCAGCAUUCUGGGAUCCAGGUAGAAACUAGGAAAUGGAUUUUUCAGGAUUCAUAUGGAAACCUGCAUUCAUUCUCUGUUUGGAGUAUUUUGACUUAUCCUGACCUCUUGCUGUGCCUGGUUCAAUCUUCAGAAAACAAAUCAUCUUGUACCAGAGGGAGAAAAUAGUUCUAUGCCCUAUUUUCAUCCUAUGCCUCACUCCUAUUUUCUGAAAAUCUUAGUUCUUUGAUUUCUGAGUCUUUUUGAUGUUCUAUGUGAAUUGUAUCUUCUAAUACUAUAGUCUUUUUGAUGUGAAUCAUAGCUCUCUAAUGCUAUUAAUUUUUUCAAAAAGGGAAAAAACUAAAGCCAAAGCCUUGGCUCUCAGUUGUGUUUCUUUUUAUUAAAUCAUAACUGUAUAACAUUAAUGUAUUUAUGGGGUACAGUGUGCUGAUUUGAUAUAUAGUGUGGAAUGCUUAUAUCAAACUGGUUAACAUAACCAUCACCUCACUUAUUUGUUGUGGUGAGACAUUUAUAGUCUACUUUUUUUUUUUUGAGACAGAGUCUCACUAAGUCAUCCUUAGUAGAGUGCUGUGGCAUCACAGCUCACAGCAAUCUCAAACACUUGGGCUUAAGCAAUUCUCUUGCCUCAGCCUCCCAAGUAACUGGGACUACAGGUGCCUGCUGGGACUACAGGUGCCUGACACAACGCCCAGCUGUUUUUUGUUGCAGUUCUCAUUGUUGUUUAGCUGGGCUGGGCUGGGUUGGAAACUCACUGUAUGUGGCUGGUGCCAUAACCACUGUGCUACAGACGCCAAGCCACUCUACUUUUAAUAGUUUUGAAAUGUACCGUUGCAUUGUGCACAUUAGGUGAGGUCCCACCAAAUACCCUCACUCCUCCCAGCCCCUCUUCCUCUUCCCUCCUUCUUCCUGGACUAUAGUUGUGUUUUAUCAUUCAUAUGAAUGUGUAGGUGAUUAUAUAUUGGUUUCAUAACAGUAUUGAGUAUGCUGGAUAUUUUUUCUUCCAUUCAUGAGAUACUUUACUAAGAAAAAUAUGUUCUGGGCAUUUGGUUUGGAACUUCUUCUGUUUUGCUAAGUCAGUAACUUCUCAUCUAUUUACUUUCUAUCUAACAAACUUUCAUUUUCUUUUGGUAAUCUUUUGUCCUCUUUUAUCUCCUGUACUAUCUUUGCCCCUUUAUGAUUUUAUAACUUUUAAAAAGCAAUAGCUUUAGUGAGCUACUACUAUGCAUAUUCCACAUAACCAUAAAAUUCAUCUGAAGUGUAUAAUUCAGUGGUUUUUAGUAUAUUCACAGAGUUAUGCAACCAUCACCACAAUCAAUUUUAGCACAUGUUUUAUCAUCCCCCCAAAGAAACUCCAUGACCAUUAACUGUCAUUCAAUUUCCUCCUUUAUCCUCCACCAGCCCUAGGUAACCACUAUUCUCUUUUUUUCUCUCUGGACAUAAAUGGAAUUGCCUAUUCUCGACACUUGAUAUAAAUGGUAUCAUACAAAGGUGGCCUUUUGUGACUGGCUUCUUUCACUUAAUAUAUAUUUUCAAGGUUCAUUCAUUUUAUAGCAUGAAUCAGUACUUCAUUCCUUUCUGUUUUUACAUUCAUCAGUUGAUAAACAUUUGUGUUGUUUUCAUUUCUCAUAACAUCUAUCCUAGAAGGGGUGAAGUAGUAUCACAUUUAAGUUUUAAUUUGCAUUUCCCAGAUGGCUAAUAAUGCUGAACAUCUUUUUACAUGCACUUAUUGGCCACCUGUACAUCUUCUUAGGCAAAAUGUCCAUUCAUAUUCUUUGCCCAUUUUUCAAUUGGGCUGUCUUUUUACUAUUGAGUUGUAAGAAUUUUUUACAUAUUCUAGAUGAAGAUCUUUAUCAGAUACAUGAUUUGCAAAUAUAUUUGUGAGUUGUCUUUUCACUUUCUUGACGGUGUCUUUGGCAUCAUAAAACAUUAAAGUUUUAAAUUUUGAUAAAGUUCAGUUUACCUACUGUUUCUUUUGUUGCUUGUGAGUUACGUGUAAUAUCCAAGAAACCAUUACUUAACUGAAAGAAAGAAGGUCACAAAGAUUUAUGCCUAUGUGUUCUAAAAGUUUUAUUGUUUUAGCUUUUACAUGUAGGCUUAUGAUCCAUUUUGAGUUAAACGUGUAUAGGGUAUGAAUAUAUUCCUUUGCUGUCAUUUCAGUGGGGUAAUAUGCAUGCGUUUAGUCCAUCAUGUUCCUUGUCUGAAAUGCAUAUAUAAUCAAGUCUUAUAAAUAUUUCUCAAAUACUGGCAAAGAUAUAAUCUUUGUAUGCCUUUUGUUCACAAAAGAACCCUUUAGGAUAACAGUCUCAAGUUACCCUUCUGUUUCAUUAAAAUAAUUUAACCACUUUGGUCAACUGUGGUUUUCACUUAUUUGUAUUUCCUACUUAUAGUAUGUUCUUGCUUCCUAAAUAUUACACCUUAUGGAGAACAGAAAACAACUGUUUUCAUUUAUUUUUCUGUAUCACGAAGUAAACUUAUUCCAGGAAAAAGAUUAUCCUGCUCUUUCUUUUUUAUUUUUCCUCUUUUCUUAUUAUACAGAACAUAUCCUGAAGGUCCAGGUAAUUUUCUUCUAUUUACUCACUUAAGAUUUUGUU